AGCUUUGUGCAGUGGCAGUAUUGUAACCAAUGAGAUUUACUCGAGGCACAAUUAUUGCUAAUUGAAAGAAAAAAUAAUGGCCCCAAAAUGCAAGAGUAGUCAUGCUAGCAAUUCAGAUAUGACAAUAA
rfam:Myotis davidii contig69295, whole genome shotgun sequence.